UUGAAAGGGAAACGAUUGAAGUCAGUCGUACCAGCGGGAAAUCAACCUUUCGAGUGGGGGUUUUGGAGUUUUGAAGAGUGUCAAAACCUUUGAGAUUUCAAAAAUUUCGCUCUUUUGGUGUACUUUCUCGUGGGUAGGUUAACAUCGAUUUUGAUCAUCAUAAAAAGAUUGGAGGAAUGUAGCUUCGAUCUUGUAUUGAAGUGUUAUAGCCUUUGGUAAAUGUGAUGAUUAGGAUCGAGGAUUGCAACGAAUACCCUUUUGGGCUAUCCGCCUGAUCUCUGAUACGUGGCCUUGGUAUCGAAAGCUUGCUUAUGGUAUUGAGGUAUUACGGUCAAAAGGUUAGAACGGAUUCAUCGUUAAGGAUGUUGACGUA
rnacentral:rRNA from 1 species